CCUAACACAUGCAAGUCGAACGGUAACAGGAAACAGCUUGCUGUUUCGCUGACGAGUGGCGGACGGGUGAGUAAUGUCUGGGAAACUGCCUGAUGGAGGGGGAUAACUACUGGAAACGGUAGCUAAUACCGCAUAACGUCGCAAGACCAAAGAGGGGGACCUUCGGGCCUCUUGCCAUCAGAUGUGCCCAGAUGGGAUUAGCUAGUAGGUGGGGUAACGGCUCACCUAGGCGACGAUCCCUAGCUGGUCUGAGAGGAUGACCAGCCACACUGGAACUGAGACACGGUCCAGACUCCUACGGGAGGCAGCAGUGGGGAAUAUUGCACAAUGGGCGCAAGCCUGAUGCAGCCAUGCCGCGUGUAUGAAGAAGGCCUUCGGGUUGUAAAGACUUUCA
rnacentral:rRNA from 1 species